rnacentral:misc_RNA from 1 species
GGCAGAUCGAAAAACACUGGGAGAAGACAUGCCAUGUGCUUAGCUGCGAUCAGAUAACUAACGACAUCUGCCCUUCAUUGCCUGAUUUCCUUUCUAUCAAAGUUCCAAUUUUUUCCCCUAAAGAAACAAAAGCAACAAAAAGAAUCACUGAAGUAAGCUUUAUACGUCAACCCAAAACUCUAUGAACUUCCAUUUUGCUUUCACUUACUCACUUUAUCUUUUUUCUCUCGCCAUAGCAACAAAUCCACACGUAAGUCCUAUAAAUCUCUUCUACACUUUCUAGGGAUCUGGGUCUCCUUUUCCUUCUCAAAAAAUUCAUGGUAUAUGUUGCUUUUGCUCUGUUGCACUCUCAUUUCAACUAAAGAGGUUCUACACUUAGUUUAAUGUUGCAGAUGUUAUUGUAAUAGUUAAAUUUUUACAGUUGGACCCAGAUCUUGAAAUGGGUGCAUUUUAAAAUACUUCAAUGAUGCGCCUAAUACUCGGAUUAGGUGUCCAUGUCCCAGAUCUUGAAAUGGGUAUCGGAUACUUUUUCUUAAAAAAGUUUGGUUUUGUUUCUUUUUAGCUGGGCAGUUGAUAUCUGCUUCUGGGUGGUCAUUCUGUUCUUGAAAAUCGAAUUUAAAACGAAGUUGGGUUUGGGGUUUUGUUUCUUUUUGAGUAAAUCCAUCGAUGGCUUAUCCAUCUGAGCAUUAUGGGUUGUGUAGUAAUGGCGCUUUAAGGAUAGUUUUGGCGUUGGUGGCUACAUUCUUGGUUGGGUACAUCGUGAAACCCCAGCUGUACUCGAGGCAGAGUUCAAGUGCUCAAACUUCAUGUCCUUGUGAUUGUGAUUGCUCUGAAGAAUUUGCCUUUUCCUUACCAUUAGGAUUUGUCAACAGCUCAUAUGCAGACUGUGGCAACCACAAUCCAGAUGUACAAGAAGAAAUGGAGAAGGAUAUUGUAGCUUUACUAUCAGAGGAAAUUGAUUUGCAGAAAAGAGUGGCUAAUGAUUCUUUGGAGCACACCAGGACAUUAGUAAUGGAUGCUAGGAAAGCCUCUUUACACUAUCAGAAAGAAGCAGAAAAGUGCAAUGCUCAAACGGAAACUUGUGAAGGAGCAAGGGAAAGGGCUGAAGCAGAAUUAGUAGAGGAGUAUAAGCAUUCAGCAUUGUGGGAGAAACGUGCAAGAGAACUAGGAUGGGAAGAUAGCAGUAAAAUGUAUACAUGAUGCAAAAUUCUUUUUAAUUAAUAUUAGGAUUUGAUUUGCAAUUUGCAAAAUAGCUUGUAUAACUAGCGCGCAAGUUUAUGUCAAUACUCCUGGAGAAUUGCCGUUAGGCUGCCUUUAAUGCGAAGGAAAUUGAACCAACGAAAUGGUUCUGUAUUUCAACCUCUGAUUAAAAUAUUUCCUUUUUAUUUCUCUUAGGCUGCCUCGUGGGGGACCUUGUUGCCCGUAAUCAGAACUUUCAAUAUAUUUUCAACUUCAUACUU